AAAUAUUCCUGCACCAGACCUGUGGACGAACCGAGCGACGCUUUCCGAAAGGUGAUCGGCCGACUAGACGUGGCCGUUCCGCAAGGACGAGGGCAUAUACGAUCCCGAAGUCAUCGGAAGGGGAGUCAAGAAAAACCUCGGGGAGGAUGAAACAGGCUGUCCGUACUAAAACUGACACAGGUAGGUGAGAUGAGUAUUCUCAGGCGCUCGAGAGAACGCUCGUGAAGGAACUCUGCAACAUGGCUCCGUAACUUCGGGAUAAGGAGCGCCCUUGAGGGUGUCAAAGCCUUUGGGGGCCGCAGUGAAAAGGGUCUAGCGACUGUUUACUAAAAACACAGGUCUGUGCGAACGCGCAAGCGGAAGUAUACAGACUGACGCCUGCCCGGUGCUGGUAAGUUAAGGAAGAGGGUUAGCCAAUUUAUUGGUGAAGCUCGCAACCGAAGCUCCAGUAAACGGCGGCCGUAACUAUGACGGUCCUAAGGUAGCGAAGUUCCUUGUCGGGUAAGUUCCGACCUGCAUGAAUGGCGUAACGACUGGACCACUGUCUCCACGAGCGACUCGGUGAAACUGUAGUAGUCGUGAAGAUGCGACUUCCCCGCAACUAGACGGAAAGACCCCGUGAACCUUUACUGUAGCUUAGUAUUGGGCUUAGGCCCAGCAUGCGUAGCGUAGCUGGGAGACUAUGACCUCGGUUCUCCGGAACCGGGUGAGUCGCCACUGAAACACCAGCCUUGUUGUGCUUGAGUUCUAACCCCGACCCGUGAAUCCGGGCGGUGGACAGUGCUAAGUGGGCAGUUUGACUGGGGCGGUCUCCUCCUAAAGAGUAACGGAGGAGCCCAAAGGUACCCUCAGCCUGGUUGGCAAUCAGGCAAAGAGCGCAAAGGUAGAAGGGUGCUUGACUGCGAGCCCGAUGGGGCGAGCAGGGACGAAAGUCGGGCUUAGUGAUCCGGCGGUGCUGGAUGGAAAGGCCGUCGCUCAACAGAUAAAAGGUACUCCGGGGAUAACAGGCUUAUCUCCUCUGAGCGUUCACAGCGGCGAGGAGGUUUGGCACCUCGAUGUCGGCUCAUCGCAUCCUGGGGGUGGAGAAGCUCCCAAGGGUUUGGCUGUUCGCCAAUGAAAGCGGUACGUGAGCUGGGUUUAGACCGUCGUGAGACAGGUCGGUCCCUAUCUGUUGCGGGCGUAGGAAGCUUGAGCGGUUUUCUCCCUAGUACGAGAGGAUUGGGAGGGACGCACCUCUGAUGUUUCAGUUGUCGCGCUAGCGGUACCGCUGGGUAGUCACGUGCGGCCAGGAUAAACGCUGAAGGCAUAUAAGCGUGAAACCCUCCGCAAGAU
rnacentral:rRNA from 1 species